rfam:Haemonchus contortus, ISE/inbred ISE, WGS project CAVP01000000 data, contig: Hcontortus_3145
GCAUCGGUGGUUCAGUGGUAGAAUGCUCGCCUGCUACGCGUGCAGCCGAGGUUCGAUUCUCGGCCGAUGCA